ensembl:lncRNA novel transcript, sense overlapping SSTR4
AGGACUGCACUGCCCAGCUUGGCAGCCACAGCCUCACAUGACCACUGAGCACUUGAAAUGUAGUUAAUAUGCUAAGAAAGCCCAUUUAAAUUUUUAUUUUCAACUUACUUAAAUUCAAAGAGCCACAGGGGUCUAGUGGCUCCUGUAUUGACAGCACAGGGCCACCUUGUUAGUGGCAUCAUUUAUAACCCUGGGCAGCAUUGCUAUAGGAAUAGCCAUAUCCUGUAGGUCUAUAAUGCUGUAGAAAUGGAAUGUGUGGUGCGAAUGAAAUUUAAAAUUUAAGUAGCCACGGUGAAAAAAAAAGAGAAACAAGUAAAAUUCAUUUCAUAAUAUGCUUUAUCUCUAUUUCCAAAAUAUUAUCAUCUCAACAUGUAAGAAAUAUAAGAAGUAUUCAUGAGAUAUUUUACAUUCCUUUGUUCAUCAUAAGUGUUUGAGAUCCCAUGUGUGUCUGACACAGCACCUGACUUUGAACUCACCACAUUUCGAGUGCCCCAUAGCCCAUGUGGCCAUGGUUUAGAGAUUUCAGAAAGCAUUCAUGGAAAAUUCUCUUUCCUGAUCCUCAUUCACUAUCCUGGGAAGUGGCCAGAUAAGGAAGCAAGGCCCAGAAGGGCCCAGCCAGUGGCUCUCAGACUCCAGAGUCAUCGAGUCCCUCACUCGAGGGCAGGUUAACUCACAGAUGGCUGGCCCCCACCCUCUGCAUUUGCCAUCCAGCAGGUCUGGGUGGGUACCAGGAUGCGGAUUCGUAACAGGAGAGGCUGAUGCUGCCAGUCUGGGUCCACAUUUUGAGAAGCAUUCCUCCAAGGGUCCCACCCACGCUCAUACCCCAUGUCUGACAAUGCCUGCCAGGAUGGGCACUGAUGAAUAUGGUUGAACGGAACUCCAAGGACCACCCAGGUUGAUAGUAGUGAGUUUGUGUACAGAAGACUGCAAUGAAUUGAAGUCAUGAGACAUACAGCCAGGAUCCUGAAAGCCACCAACAUAUGUCACCUGCCUGGGAGGCUUGCUUCGAUGGUCAUCUUGUUCUGCCUGCUAAGACCAGGAGUCACAGCUGUUGACAUCAUGGUGAAUAAAAACAUUUUCUGCCACAGGUAGAAA